rnacentral:rRNA from 1 species
GAUGAACGCUGGCGGCGUGCCUAAUACAUGCAAGUCGAGCGAACGGACGAGAAGCUUGCUUCUCUGAUGUUAGCGGCGGACGGGUGAGUAACACGUGGAUAACCUACCUAUAAGACUGGGAUAACUUCGGGAAACCGGAGCUAAUACCGGAUAAUAUUUUGAACCGCAUGGUUCAAAAGUGAAAGACGGUCUUGCUGUCACUUAUAGAUGGAUCCGCGCUGCAUUAGCUAGUUGGUAAGGUAACGGCUUACCAAGGAAACGAUGCAUAGCCGACCUGAGAGGGUGAUCGGCCACACUGGAACUGAGACACGGUCCAGACUCCUACGGGAGGCAGCAGUAGGGAAUCUUCCGCAAUGGGCGAAAGCCUGACGGAGCAACGCCGCGUGAGUGAUGAAGGUCUUCGGAUCGUAAAACUCUGUUAUUAGGGAAGAAAAUAUGUGUAAGUAACUGUGCACAUCUUGACGGUACCUAAUCAGAAAGCCACGGCUAACUACGUG